rnacentral:rRNA from 1 species
CCCUUAGAUGUCCUGGGCCGCACGCGCGCUACAAUGACUCACUCAGAAAGUUUUUCCUGAUCCGGAAGGAUUCGGGUAAUCUUCAUAGCAUGAGUCGUGUUAGGGAUCGAUCUUUGCAAUUAUAGAUCUUGAACGAGGAAUGCCUAGUAAGUGCAGCUCAUCAGGCUGUACUGAUUGCGUCCCUGCCCUUUGUACACACCGCCCGUCGCUCCUACCGAUUGAGUGGUCCGGUGAACCUUCUGGAUUAAGCAGCAAUGCUUGAGAAGUUAGGUAAACCUUAUCACUUAGAGGAAGGAGAAGUCGUAACA